UGUGGUUCAGUGGUAGAGCAUCUGCCUGGCAUGCUUGAAGCCCUGGGUUUGAACCCCAGCA
rnacentral:tRNA from 1 species